rnacentral:rRNA from 1 species
AGAGUUUGAUCAUGGCUCAGAAUCAACGCUGGCGGCGCGCCUAACACAUGCAAGUCGAACGAGAAAGCGGGAGCAAUCUCGCAAGUACAGUGGCGUACGGGUGAGUAACACGUGGAUCAUCUGCCCUGGAGUGGGGAAUAACGCUGGGAGACCGGCGCUAAUACCGCAUAUUCCCGAGAGGGGAAAGCAGCAAUGCGCUCGAGGAGGAGUCCGCGGCCGAUUAGCUAGUUGGCAGGGUAAAAGCCUACCAAGGCUAUGAUCGGUAGCCGGCCUGAGAGGGCACACGGCCACACUGGCACUGAAACACGGGCCAGACUCCUACGGGAGGCAGCAGUGGGGAAUCUUGCACAAUGGGGGAAACCCUGAUGCAGCGACGCCGCGUGAGCGAUGAAGCCCUUCGGGGUGUAAAGCUCUUUCGGCAGGGAAGAUUAUGACGGUACCUGCAGAAGCAGCUGCGGCUAACUACGUGCCAGCAGCCGCGGUAAUACGUAGGCAGCAAGCGUUGUUCGGAGUUACUGGGCGUAAAGGGUGUGUAGGCGGCCUGUUAAGUUCCGUGUGAAAUCUCCCGGCUCAACCGGGAGGGUGCGCGGAAAACUGGCGGGCUAGAGUACGGGAUGGGAGAGUAGAAUUCCUGGUGUAGCGGUGAAAUGCGUAGAUAUCAGGAGGAAUACCUGUGGUGUAGACGGCUCUCUGGACCGUAACUGACGCUGAAACACGAAAGCGUGGGUAGCAAACAGGAUUAGAUACCCUAGUAGUCC